UUAUCCUAUCCACUUCUUCUAACGAAACUCACACCAGACAGAAAUCAAUAGUUCCCACCUCCACCAUCUCCGUCGCUCUUACCAACACCACCACUAUUUUUAUCGUCGCCACCACAAGCAGCACCACCACCUUCGUCACGUCUGCCACAACUAUCAACAGGUUGUACCUGUUAUUGUAAAAUCAAUCUUUGGUAAAAGAAUUGUUGGAUUCCCUAGUGGAGGAGGAGGUCUGUCUACACUCAUUGAGAACCGAAUUUUCAGUAUUCGUAGUGGUCUUUCUCCAGCCAUUUCCAAAGUGAACCAGAAACAUCGAAGUAGCUAUAUUAGAAGAACCUGUGGUGUAAUGGUAGCACACCCGACUCCACGUCAGAUUAUGCGUGUUCGAAUCACGUCAGGUUCACUCAUUCGAGUAUAUCAAUUUUUUGGGGUCAACUUCGGUUGUUGACACCAUAUUUUGGAGUCAACUUCGGUUGUUGACACCAUAUUUUUGGAUCAACCUAGGUUUUUGACACCAUAAUUAUCUCUUCUUAUGCCAUUGCCAAAAUUUGGGUGAUACUUAAUUGUUGCAAAAUGCCUUGUCUGACUAAUGUUGUUUCAUCUUGGUUGGUUGAAAACUUUUUGGGUUGUGGCAGUGUUAGUUAUGUUGUAGAUUAUUGACUGAGAUUUUUGCCUGAUGCAUCCUGUUGCUUUUCA